rnacentral:tRNA from 1 species
GACCCUGUAGCUCAAUGGAUAGCGCGUUGGACUUCUAAUCCAAAGGUCGUGGGUUCAAAUCCCACCUGGGAUGACCU